rnacentral:rRNA from 1 species
GACGAACGCUGGCGGCGUGCUUAACACAUGCAAGUCGAACGAGGUCCAUGGAGUAGCAAUACUCCGGAAGACCUAGUGGCGAACGGGUGCGUAACACGUGAGGAACUUGUCCCGGUCUCUGGGAUAACAGUUGGAAACGACUGCUAAUACCGGAUGACGUCGGAGCGUCGCAUGGCGCGCUGACGAAAGGGUUACCGGAUCGGGAGAGCCUCGCGGCCUAUCAGCUUGUUGGUGGGGUAAUGGCCUACCAAGGCAUCGACGGGUAGCCGGUCUGAGAGGAUGAUCAGCCACACUGGGACUGAGACACGGCCCAGACUCCUACGGGAGGCAGCAGUGGGGAAUCUUGCGCAAUGGGCGAAAGCCUGACGCAGCAACGCCGCGUGCGGGAAGAAGGCUCUCGGGUUGUAAACCGCUUUCAGCAGGAACGAAAAUGACGGUACUUGCAGAAGAAGGUGCGGCCAACUACGUGCCAGCAGCCGCGGUAAAGU